AUUCAUUCCUUGCCCCCCCCACAGCAGUCGCGGUCGGGUGGGGUGGGCAGACGACAAGGCCUUUUUUUUUUCCUGUUGCCCCAGCCUGCGGGUCCCCUCCCUGAAACGCGGUGUCAGAAGGCUUUACUAUUUAAUAUUUUGGACAGGCCGCGGCGGCCGGCAGCGAAAGAAAAAAAGAGGGGGGAAGAUUCGAGAGAGAACUGGGGGUGUCUAAUUUAAUUCCAGGAUAAAUUUGAAGGAAAAAAAAUUCGGCCUCUUGAGGGCAGUUUCAAGUUGCCCUUCCUGGAGCUUCCUGCGCUGGUUUCUAGGCUGCCCUCUUUUGGAAGCUGGAGCUCGGUGGGGGGAGGAGGGAGGAGUGAGAAGGAGAGAAAAGAACGAAAAUAGCCCGAGCCGAGGGGAACUGAGCGGCGGUGUCCGCGCGCUUGGAGCUGGGCGUGCGGGUCUCAGUGGCAGCCAGGGGCGACCCGAGGCGUCCGGUGCUGCCCGGGGACGGCCAGGAGCAAAGACGGAGAGAGGGGGGUUAGAGAAAGGAGGUAUUGUGUCUAUGUGCCUUAGGGGAGGGGGGUUGAUUGCAAGAAAUAAAAUAAAUGCCGUUAAGCUGCGCGGGCUGCUGGAAACAAGAGAGGAACGGGCUGAGGGGGUGGGGAGCGCUUAGUGCCCUUGAGCCUUAUCCAGAGGCCUUUGUGGGUUCCCAGUUAAACCCUCCCACGCCUCAGUCCCACCGCUUUCCCCCACCCCCCCAUCGCCCUCCAAUAUUCAGAGCGCAGGCCCUGAUCUCCCCCAACCCCCUCAUCCCUCCCGGGAUCCAGAAUGUUUUCCUUAUUUUAAUACAGCUCAAAAAAAAUAUGUAUCUUGAGAGAAAUGGGAUGGGGGAUUGUGCAAAAGGCUUGCGGGGAUAGAAAAAAACAAAGGCCUGUUUUUAUAAAUGUUUAAUGUUUUCACCCCUGGAUGCUCCAAGACGCCGUAAUUGUGACGGCGGGGUAUUGUGCCAUAAAUCAUUUAGCUGCUAAUAAAAAAUUAUUCCAAUUUGCCUGGGAUUUGCCGGUGGCGUUUGCAUUUUUCAAGUGUGCGCCCUGUCUGCGUGGCGUACCGACCCAGUUUCAUUAGGGCCGUGGUUGGUGUGGAACGUGGCCCGCUCCCCCCUGGAAUGUGCGGCGUUCUGGGUCCCCUCUCGGCCUGCCACUCGGCUCUCGGGCCACCGGUGCGCUGAACCUGGGGAACCGGUGGCACCGGAUUCCCAGCGCCCAAGCAGGGGAACGCAGGCUGGGUCCCUCCUGCGUCUCUCCAGUCUGCCAAGUAUAAGUGUGCGGUGGGCAGGCGAGGGCCCUGGUCUCCACGCCCCUGUGUCCCCCUACAUGUAACAGCGGUUGGGAGCCAUGUUGGGGCGUGGGGACUUGCAGAGAAGCAGAGGUUGCACCAACACCACACCACUUCCGAGAGCCUCUGGGUCUGGGGAAACGACCUACAGCCGGGGCAGAGACGCUCUUAACUACAAAAGCCGGGUGUGCUCGUCCUAAAACGGAGAUGGGGACAAAUGCACGGACCACGGGUCCAGGCGCCAUCUUCGCGCCCCAUCCCCCAUCCCUCUCGCUUGUUUACCCGUCAGGAUCCGUGGCCAGAAAAACUGUGUUGACGCAGUGUGUGUGUUGUACUGACUGGAUGGAAAAUCAGCUGGGGGGGGGGGCCUCCAUGUAGUCCCAGGACGCAGUUCCCGGACAACCCACUCGAGCUGGCCUGUCUGGUCCGGCGUGGUCGUCCCCGGCCACUCCUGAGCCUUCUAGUGUGUUCUUCCAGGUCCCUAGUCCCGGUCUGAACGAGUCCCCACGGACAAAACUCAAAGCUCUUUGUUGUAAAAUCAGAGGACAGGCCAACCUUGAGCGCGGCUGCCUCCCCUGCGGUGCGCCUUUGUCCAGCUCCAGGGAACCCCGCGUUUCCUUCCCUCACUUAUGCCCCACGAAAGGUUGACCUCAUCAUCAUCCACACCCCCGAUGUUGCUAGCGCUGUGAACAGGUUUCCACCAUACUCCUUCAUCAGGGGAAGAAGGAAAAAGAAACAAAGCUAGUUUCCAUUCCUAAGGGAGGACAUCCAAACCACCCUGUAUCGGUUGCCCCAAACCAGCUCUCCCAAGGAGUGAACUCCACUGGAGACUUAAGUAAAGGGGAUCCCAAGAGAAAGCUGAGUUGUGCCUCCCGUGGAGAUGCCAUAGUAGAGUCUAAAGCGAGCGUUUCCGUAGAUCCUAAAUCCGGCUACCCUACAGCUCCCGGCCCGGGCGCCGCUAAAACCCGGAGAGGCCAGGCUGGGCCCAGCCACGCUCGCAGUCUCUCGCUGCGGUUGGCCCAUCAGAAGGUGGGAAUCCUGAAGAGGUUCAUCCAAGGGCAACCCAGGCCCACCAGCAGAACCAAAGAUGUGGUGCCAGAGCCACGCACAGCAUCCGGACCCCAACGAGCAACCGCACCAGCCGGCACCCACAUCCACUUGAAUCCCUUCCCAUCGGCUGAGAGUCAAAAACAAACCCGCCAAGAUUAAACCUGACAGGCGCCCACCCUUCACAGCUUCGGGGCAGCACACCUCUGCCUUUGCACCCCAGAGAGGAGGGAACAUGAGGCAGGGGAACCCCACCAACACCUGUGAGUGACCAGCUUCAGCAGCCACAGCACAUUAUCUCCCAAGAAACUUCUAGAACUACUCUGACCAGGAAGACCUGCCCUCAUUUUUUUGCUGGAAAUCGUGAUUCUUCUCCAUCCCUCCUUGAUGCCCCCUGCAAGACUCUGUUCCUGUGGUACAGCUCCCUCUUCAGGGGGGCUCUGUUAUGGGUUGAACAGCACCCCCACCCCUAAUUCCUGUGUGUGGAAGCAAUCUCCACAAAACUGAAAACAUUCUGUCAUAGAGGGAAGCCAUGGGCGCUCAGGCACAUAAAUUAAAACAAACUUAAAAUGCUUACAGAAGUCACAGGCCCCUUCCCUAGGUUACACAAGUAGUAACAUUCCACCAGGCUGUUUGAGGGUCACCCACACUCCUGUAAGUAAUCCCUGUACUUCAGUAAACAUCUUGGUUCUACCUGGGAAAGUUAAUACUUCAAAAUAACCUUAUAUGGAAUAGGAGUUUCCCAGGGCAUGGUGGCAAAUACACAAGGGGAGACAUGUCACUGGCCUGCCAUUCUA
rnacentral:lncRNA from 1 species